rnacentral:rRNA from 1 species
GACGUAGGGCGCGAGCGUUGUCCGGAUUAUUGGGCGUAAAGAGCUCGUAGGCGGCUUGUCGCGUCGAAUGUGAAAUCCUGCGGCUCAACUGCAGGCUUGCAUUCGAUACGGGCAGGCUAGAGUUCGGUAGGGGAGACUGGAAUUCCUGGUGUAGCGGUGGAAAAUGCGCAGAUAUCAGGAGGAACACCGAUGGCGAAGGCAGGUCUCUGGGCCGAUACUGACGCUGAGGAGCGAAAGCGUGGGGAGCAAACAGG